rnacentral:rRNA from 1 species
UGGGGAAUAUUGGACAAUGGGGGCAACCCUGAUCCAGCCAUGCCGCGUGAGUGAUGAAGGCCUUCGGGUUGUAAAGCUCUUUUGGCGGGGACGAUGAUGACGGUACCCGCAGAAUAAGCCCCGGCUAACUACGUGCCAGCAGCCGCGGUAAUACGUAGGGAGCAAGCGUUGUUCGGAUUUACUGGGCGUAAAGGGCGCGUAGGCGGCGCGGUAAGUCACUUGUGAAAUCUCUGAGCUUAACUCAGAACGGCCAAGUGAUACUGCUGUGCUAGAGUGCGGAAGAGGCAACCGGAAUUCUUGGUGUAGCGGUGAAAUGCGUAGAUAUCAAGAGGAACACCUGAGGCGAAGGCGGGUUGCUGGGCCGACACUGACGCUGAUGCGCGAAAGCCAGGGGAGCAAACG